CACGUAGGGGACGAGCGUUGUCCGGAUUCAUUGGGCGUAAAGCGCGCGUAGGCGGCUCGGAAAGUCGGGCGUGAAAACCCGGGGCUCAACUCCGGGCCUGCAGCCGAUACGGGCAGACUAGAGGUAUGCAGGGGAGAACGGAAUUCCUGGUGUAGCGGUGAAAUGCGGCAGAAUAUCAGGAGGAACACCGGUGGCGAAGG
rnacentral:rRNA from 1 species